rnacentral:rRNA from 1 species
UAUUGGACAAUGGGGGAAACCCUUAUCCAGCGACGCCGCGUGAGGGAAGAAGGUUUUCGGAUUGUAAACCUCUGUCAGUGGGGACGAUAAUGACGGUACCCACGGAGGAAGCCACGGCUAACUACGUGCCAGCAGCCGCGGUAAUACGUAGGUGGCAAGCGUUGUCCGGAAUUACUGGGUGUAAAGGGAGCGUAGGUGGCAGGGCAAGUCAGAUGUGAAAACCCGGGGCUCAACCCCGGGAGUGCAUUUGAAACUGUCCAGCUGGAGUGCAGGAGAGGUAAGCGGAAUUCCUAGUGUAGCGGUGAAAUGCAUAGAUAUUAGGAGGAACACCAGUGGCGAAGGCGGCUUACUGGACUGUAACUGACGCUGAGGCUCGAAAGCGUGGGGAGCAAACAGG